rnacentral:rRNA from 1 species
AACGAACGCUGGCGGCAGGCCUAACACAUGCAAGUCGAACGCUGUAGCAAUACAGAGUGGCAGACGGGUGAGUAACGCGUGGGAACGUGCCUUUCGGUUCGGAAUAACUCAGGGAAACUUGAGCUAAUACCGGAUACGCCCUUCGGGGGAAAGAUUUAUUGCCGAAAGAUCGGCCCGCGUCCGAUUGGCUAGUUGGUGAGGUAAUGGCUCACCAAGGCGACGAGCGGUAGCUGGUCUGAGAGGAUGAUCAGCCACACUGGGACUGAGACACGGCCCAGACUCCUACGGGAGGCAGCAGGGGGGAAUAUUGGACAAUGGGCGCAAGCCUGAUCCGGCCAUGGCGCGUGAGUGAUGAAGGCCCUAGGGUUGUAAAGCGCUUUGGCCAGGGACGAUAAUGGCAGUACCUGGAUAAGAAGCCCCGGCUAACUUCGUGCCAGCCGCCGCCGUAA